UACAGAGGUCUCAAGCGUUGUUCGGAUUCAUUGGGCGUAAAGGGUGCGUAGGUGGCAGGGUAAGUCGGAUGUGAAAUCCCGGGGCUCAACCUCGGAACUGCAUUCGAUACUGCUUUGCUUGAGUACUGGAGAGGAGAUUGGAAUUUACGGUGUAGCAGUGAAAUGCGUAGAUAUCGUAAGGAGGACCAGUGGCGAAGGCGGAUCUCUGGACAGUUACUGACACUGAGGCACGAAGGCCAGGGGAGCAAACGGG
rnacentral:rRNA from 1 species